rnacentral:rRNA from 1 species
AUGGCGAAUUAUCUACGCGCUCUGCGCCUCCAAGAAGGCGUUGAACUCGGCCCUGGCCAUCGCCAGCCGCGGCGUGAUGCACGGCGACGUCGGGCACGACGCCGGAGGCGCCGCGGCCGUCGAGAACCUCACGUGCCGCUGCGACGCGGACGACGUCCUGGGGGCCGACUCCUGCCGCUGCGACGCCGACGCCGACUUCUUCAGGAUCCCCCUCGGCUCGCCGUCGAACGCGGACGCCGUCUUGGCCGGCGACGCCGGCUCAUGCCGGCGCGAAUCCGACGCCGACUUCUUCAGUGCCCCCCUCGCCUCGCCCUCGAACACGAACGCCAUCUUGACCGGCAAGUCCGUGUCGUCCGCGCAGCUGAUCUUGGGCACCUCCAUCGCGAAGUCCAUGUCGACGUGCGUCGGCACAACACUCACCGGAUGCGGCGGCGGUGGCGGGCUCCACGACCCGCACUCGAACCUCUCCAGCUCCGCCAUCCGCGACACGCUGCUCCGCCGCCUCGCCCCGGAAUGCUGCCUCUGUAUGCUCGACACGACGGCCGCCGCGGAGGGCGACCCCGGCUUCUUCUUUGCGAAGCCCGGGAUGAACAUGCACAGCACGCCGCACGUGAAGCUUUGCUCGUCCUCGUCGGCAGCCUCGACGUAGGGGACGGGGACCUCGUCGUCGUGCGGCGCCAUGGACCUGCCCUCGGCGCGGGACGCGCUCCUCGAGAGCGUGGUGGGAGCCGCCGACGGCGAGGCGGCGUAGCUGGCGAGCGCGGCGGAGUGCUGCCGCGCGAGGGAACGCAGGGCGGUGACCGUGGCGAGUCUGGGCGCGGCGGGCUCGUCCCGCUUGGCCGUGGCGCUGUGGACCGGGGAGGAGGUCGCGUAGCACGGCUGGCUGGCCCCGACGAACGUGGGCCGGCGCAGCGGCGGCAGGAGCGGGGACGACUGCGCGACCACCUCCGUGAGCACGGACGGCGCGGAGAGCGGCGAGUCCGGGUCGGCCACCAUGCCCAGGUGCCGCAGAGAGACCGGGUCCACGGGGAUCUGCCGCUCCUCCUCCAUCGACGGCGACACCGGGCUCUUGCCGCCGUCCUCCGCUGCCGCCGUAGUGCUCACGGCGGGGACAGACACGGGCUCGUCGGCGGAGUGCAUGGUGGGCUGGGCGUUGUCGUGCGCUCCUAG